rnacentral:rRNA from 1 species
GUAGGUGGCAAGCGUUGUCCGGAAUUAUUGGGCGUAAAGCGCGCGCAGGCGGUUCUUUAAGUCUGAUGUGAAAGCCCACGGCUCAACCGUGGAGGGUCAUUGGAAACUGGAGAACUUGAGUACAGAAGAGGAAAGCGGAAUUCCACGUGUAGCGGUGAAAUGCGUAGAGAUGUGGAGGAACACCAGUGGCGUAAAGCGGCUUUCUGGUCUGUAACUGACGCUGAGGCGCGAAAGCGUGGGGAGCAAACAGGAUUAGAUACCCUGGUAGUCCACGCCGUAAACGAUGAGUGCUAAGUGUUAGGGGGUUUCCGCCCCCCUUAGUGCUGCAGCUAACGCAUUAAGCACUCCGCCUGGGAGUACGGCCGCAAGGCUG